rnacentral:lncRNA from 1 species
GAAAGGAUUUCUUAACUGGCACUGCUGGCAGAGACGGAGACCGCGGCUGGGGCAAGUGGUGGGGGACGGCACUGAACUUCCCUAAGGACCCCAAGGGUUCAGCCGAGGGAUCGGCACCCACUCCGCUCACAGAGGGCUCCCUCCCUACAGUAGGGAACGCACCCGAAACUCAGCCGACAAGGCGCAGGGGAGCAGGGCAAAGACAUUGCAACCAGAAGCCCAAGGCCGGCCGACACUUUCAGACCCUGGGGCAGCCCCUGGUAGGCACCCCGCCGAGCCCGCAGGAUGCGGCUCCAAGGCAGGGUUCGCCCGGGCCGGGGCCAGCGCGGACCACAGCUGUAUGGCGCCCGGCGCCCUCCGGAGCUGCAGCGGAGCACGGCCAGAAGCCGCAGACCCCGAGCGCCUCUCUGCAGCCGCCGUUCCCGCCCCCGCCCCCACCAGGGGACCCGACACCUCCGUCUCCACUCCCCCCAGCCCACGUUCCCCCAACUCUUCUCACCCUGCAGGAGCCGGUGACCGGCGAAGCCGCUGGGAGUCCUCUGGCUGCCGCUGCCGCCGCCGCCGCCGCCGUCUCCAGCAGCAAGUUUCCAUAAAAGUCCUGGUGUGCAGCCUGUUCCCGCAUUCCAGGCGGGCCCAGCGCCGGCUGCAGCUGUUCCAAAACACAAGGCCAGUUCCCCCAACCCCCCACCUCCGCCGUUAUCACCCGGAGUGGGGGUGGAGAGUUGAGGAGAAAAGCAGGGGAGGGGGACCGUGGCUGCCAACUUUCCGCCAGAAUUUGUCUGUCUCCCGGCCCUAGGUGCGCGAGCUGACCCCCUAACUUUGGGCCUGCCUCCACCUCCAGCCAGGCCUGGGGAAGGAAGGCUGCCUCCGCCAUGGGAAAGGAAUGAGGCUGAAAUGGGCUUCAUUACCGGGCUGAAGCUGGCUCCCCCUACCCGCAACCAGUUUGCUCUGGGGCCCACUUCUCUCAGCUACUCUACCCGUCCUAGUUUCCAGUCAAGAAGCCAAGCCACUACAUAUCUUCUACUACCCUAAGCAUUGACCUUUGGCCAAGUUUUCCUUUAUUACAAAGAGCGUGGGGCAGCAAUCCGGGAACACUUCAUCUGUCUAUUGCUCCCCUGUUCUUAGCUCCAGUCUUUAACUCUAAAAGGAGAGUUAAAAAAGAAGAAGAAGAAGAAGAAGAAGAAGAAGAAGAAGAAGAAGAAGAAGAAGAAGAAGAAGAAGAAGAAGAAGAAGAAGAAGAAGAAGAAGAAGAAGAAAGUUGAAGGCAGAGGAGGAGGAGGAGAAGAAAAGAAGGAAUAUAUUUAUAUAAGUACAAAUAUCUUUAUAUUCCACCUUUUUCUUAAUUGAAGGCAAACCAUAUCUGGUCUUUCUAAAGCUUCAUAAAGGCAUCUUUGACUAUUAGACACCCACAGACCUUUUUCAACUUGGACCGCCAGCCUGUCAAACCCAUCAGACAAUACCAUAUUAAAACCCGAAAUGCACACUCGGAGUAUUUUUGGUGGACGAGAUCUUUAAUUCUUCACUGCACUUGAAAAAAAAAUCGAAAUGACAUCCAGAUAAAGAAUAAAGGUAACCACUUCCACCUUCAGGCCCUAAGCAGACAGCGGUGCUCAGGUUAUAUUUCAGGGAUGUUGAAAAGGCCUUCUGGGCUGGGCGCGGUGGCUCAUGCCUGUGAUCCCCGCACUUUGGGAGGCCGAGGCGGGUGGAUCACUUGAGGUCAGGAAUUCAAGACCAGCCUGACCAACAUGGCAAAAGGCCGUCUUUACUAAAAAUACAAAAAAUUAGCCUAGUGUGGAGGCACACACCUGUAAUCUGAGUUACUCAGGAGGCUGAGGCAGGAGAAUCACUUGAAGCCAGGAGGCGGAGGUUGCAGUGAGCAGAGAUCAUCCCACUGCACUCCAGUCUGGGUGACAAAAUGAGACUCUGUCUCCAAAAAAAAAAAAAAAGGCCGGGCGCGGUGGCUCCUGCCUGUAAUCCCAGCACUUUGGGAGGCCAAGGCGGGUGGAUCACCUGAGGUCAGGAGUUUGCGACCAGCCUGGCCAACAUGGUGAAACUCUAUCUCUACUAAAAAUGCAAAAAAUUAGCCGGGCGUGGUGACGUGCGCCUGUGAUCCCAGCUACCUGGGAGGCUGAGGUUGAAGAACCCACUUCGCUUGAACCCGGGAGGCUGAGGUUGCUGUGAGCUGAGAUGGCGCCAUUGCACUCCAGCGUGAGCAACAAGAGUGAAACUCCCUCUCUCUCUCUGUUUCUCUCUCUCUCACACCCGUACACACAAAAGGCCUUCUACUCAAAUAUAACUCUGUUCCCCAGUCCCAUCCCCACAGUAUUUACUCAGGAUGGAAACUUUUCUAAGGAGGGUAAGCCAUUCAUUCCUCGAUUACAGAAAAGUUCAAAAUUGGUAAUUAAAAUUAUUUAAAUGUACCGAACUACGGAUAGUGAUAGGUGGUCUUGGUAGUCUUGCUUGUGCCCUUGCUCUCUUUGAUGCCAUCACCUUGGCCUUCUUCAGUUCAUGAAACUUUCUAUGGGCAGUCUGGCUGCAGGGCCUUUGUAUAAGUUGUUCCCUGCAUGAAAUCCUUUCUCCCACUUUCCCCUUCACCUAACUUCAACAUAUCCUCCCGAUCUCUUCUUAAAUGCUGCUUCCUCGGAGAAGGCUUCCUUGCAUCCCACCUUUCUCCCCACCUUGCACCUCACCUUUCAUCCCACCUUUCUCUUCCCUAUAUAUAUAUAUUCCUAUUUAUUUGCUUAUUUAUUUAUUUAUUUAUUUAUUUAUUUAUUUAUUUAUUUGGAGAUGUAGUCUCGCUCCGUCGCCCAGGCUGGAGUGCAGUGGCACGAUCUCAGCUCACUGCAACCUCCGCUUCCCCAGUUCAAUCGAUUCUCCUGACUCAAAAGUAGCUGGGAUUACAGGCGCGUGCCACCACACCUGGCUACUUUUUGUAUUUUUAGUGGAGAUGGGGUUUCACCAUGUUGGCCAGGCUGGUCUUGAACUCCUGCCCUCAAGUGAUCCACCCACCUCGGCCUCGCAAAGUGCUGGGAUUACAGGUGUGAGCCACUGUGCCCUGCCCCUAUACAUAUCAAUUUAUAAUUACAUAUUUAUUUCUGUGAUUUAAAGAAGUGAGUUGGCUGAGCAUGGUGUCUCACGCCUGUAAUCCCAGCACUUUGGGAGGCUGAAGCGGGUGGAUCACUUGAGGUCAGGAGUUCGAGACCAGCCUGGCCAACAUGGCGAAAUCCUGUCUCUACUAAAAAUAUAAAAAUUAGCUGAGUGUGGUAGCGUGCACCUGUAGUCCCAGCUACUCGGGAGGCUGAGGCAGGAGAAUUGCUUGAAACCAGGAGGUGGAGGUUGCAGUGAGCCGAGAUCAUGCCACUGCACUCCAGUCUGGGCGACAGAGUGAGACUCUGUCUCAAAAAAUAAUAAAUAAAUAAAUAACUAGAAACUUAACAAUUUUUUAUUUUUAUAUCCACCCAAUAGAUUCACCAGAUUAAACAAAGCUCUCCAUUCUCUCUGUAGAACACUGAUAGCUACUCACAGCAUGCAAGGCCUGCUUAUUUUCCCACCAAUUCAUCAUUCAUUCAUUCAACAGAUAUUCAGUUCUAUAUGCUAAGGAUACAGCAGUGAUAAAGGAAAAAUCCCUGCCAUUAUGGAACAUACAUUCUAGUGAAAGAAGGCAGACAAUAAGCAAAUAAGUGAACUAUGUAGUAUUUAGUGACAUGUAAUAUGGCAAUAUGGAUAAUACCAGAGCAGGGAAGUAGAGAAUGCUGGAGGCAGGCUGAGUAGAUGUUGUAAUUUUAGAUAGAGUGGCUAAGGAAAGCCUCAUAUGAGUAAAAGCCUUGAGGAGAGUGAGGCAGUAGGCUAUGUAAAUAUCUGGAGAAGCAAAUAUUUGGAGGAAGAGUGGUCCAGGGAUAGAUACAAAGGCCCAGAGAAGGAUUCUAUCUGACAUGUUCUAGGAAGAACCAGGAGGCUUGUGCGAGUGAAGCUGAGUAGGUGAAGGGUGAGGUAAUAGGAGGUGCAGUGGGGAGCAGGAGACAAGACUACGUAGGAUUUUGUUUGUUUGAGAAUAAGUCUCGCUCUGUCGCCCAGGCUGGAGUGCAGUAGCAUAAACUCUGCUCACUGCAACCUCCGCCUCCUGGGUUCAAGCGAUUCUCUUCCCUCAGACUCCCGAGUAGCUGGGAUUACAGGCACCUGUCACCAUGCCCGGCUAAUUUCUGUAUUUUUAGUAGAGAUGGGGUUUCACCAUAUUGGCCAGGCUGGUCUCAAACUCCUGACCUCAGGUGAUCCGUCUACCUCGGCCUCCUAAAGUGUUGGGAUUACAGGCGUAAACCAACAUGCCUGGCCUUUUUUUUUUUUUUUAGAGACCCAGGCUGGAGUGCAGUGGUGGAAUCACAGCUCACCGCAGCCUCUAACUUCUGGGCUCAAGCGAUCCUCCUGCCACAGCUUCUCUGAGUAGCUGGGACUACAGGCAUGCAACAACACACCUGGCUAAUUUUUUAGUUUUUGUAGAAAUGGGGUCUUAUUAUGUUGCCUGGGUUGGUCUCAAACUCCUGGGCUUAAGCAUCCUCCCACUUCGGCCUCCCAGAGAGUAGGGAUAAUAGGCAUGAGCCAUUGUGCCCAGCCUCUUUUUGUACAGCAUUGUAAAGAUUUUGGUUUUUACUCUAACAUGGGUGGUCUCUGGUAGGUUUUGAACAACAUAGUGACAUGAUCUGACAUGUUUACUCUCUCUAGCUUAAGUGCUGCACAUACACCAAAUGAGGCAAGAGAAGAAGCAGGGAGAUCAAUUAAUUAGGAGGCUUCCACAAUAAUCGGAAUGAGGAAUGGGGAUUUGGGCCAAAGUGAUAGUUGUGAAGGUAGUGAGAAAUACCUGGCAUAUUUUUUUUUCCUUGUUGCCUUUUUAGGUAGAAAUGGUAGGAUUUUUUUUUUUUUUUUUUUUGUAACUGAAUGUGAGGUGUGAGGAAAGGAGGUUUUGGGCCUUUGAUCUGGAAGAAUGGAGUUGUAAUUUACUCAGAUAGGGAAGGUUGUGGGAAGAGGAGGUUUAGGCAGGGGUGGUAAGGAGCUCAGUUUUGACAUGCUAAGUUUGAGAUUACUAAAAAUCCAAGAUCUGCCCAUUUGUAUAAGCAUUACUUGUAUACUUAUCACGAGUGAUUAGGUUUGUUCUAUGUCAGUUGCACGGUUUUGAAAUUAUACAAAGUAAACAUUUAAAAAAUGAAAUUAUAGGCCAGACAUGGUGGCUCACACCUGUAAGCCCAGUGCUGUGGGAGGCCAAGGUAGGCAGAUCACCUGAGGUCAGGAGUUCGAGACCAGCCUGGCCAUGAUGGCGAAACCCCGUCUACUAAAAAUACAAAAAUUAGCCGGGCAUGGUGGUACGUGCCUGUAAUCCCAGCUACUCAGGAGGCUGAGGCAGGAGAAUCGCUUGAACCCAGGAGGCGGAGGCUGCAGUGAGCCCAGAUCGUGCCAAAAAAAAAAAUAAAGAAAGAAAUUAUAAAAGCAAAAAUAAAGUUAUAGUUUUUUAUAAAAGCUGAGUUGAAUGCUUUGAAAAGACUUGAUAAAGGCAAAUAGCUUACAAAAAUUACCACCAAGCUAGGUGUGGAGAAGACAAAUGUAAAAGAUUGGGUACAAAAUUGUACAAAUCUAGGGAGAUUCUGCAGUCAGUGCUUUUUAAUGUACCUUUUCUCUCCUUUAAAAGUAAGGAAAACUCGAAAUUCCAGAUGAUGAUUUAGGGCAGGGGCCCCCAAACCCCAGGCUGCACAGCAGGAGGUGAGGACUGGCGAGUGAGCAUUACCACCUGAGCUCUGCCUCCUGUCAGAUCAACGAUGGCAUUAGAUUCUCAUAGGAGCGCAAACCCUAUUAUGAACUGUGCAUGUAAGGGAUCUAGGUUGUGCACUCCUUAGGAGAAUCUAAUCCCUGAUGAUCUGUGAUGGACCAGUUUCAUCCCAAAACUAUCCACCACAGCCACCCCCGAACCGUCCAUGGAAAAAUUGUCUUCCCCAAAACUGGCCCCUGGUGCCAAAAAGGUUGGAGACCACUGAUUUAGCGGUUUAGUUUAUGUAACAAAGAUAUCUUGAAAUAUCGAGUGAAUCCAUACUCCCAACUAAAGGCCUUGAUACUAUAUCAAAAGAUUGGCCAAAGAAAGUACAUUCAUUCAUUUAACAUUAAAAUGUCAACCAGGCAUGGUAGCUCAAGCCUGUAAUCCCAGAACUUUGGGAGGCUGAGGUGGGAGGAUCACUUGAGGACAGGAGUUCAAGACCAGCCUGGGAAACAUACCAAGACUUCCUCUCUACUAAACAAUAAAAAUAAUCCAGGUGUGGUGGCAUGUGGCUGUAGCCCCAGCUACUCAGGAGGCUGAGGCAGAAGAAUCACUUGAGCCCAGGAGUUAGAAGUUGCAGUGAGAACCACUGCACUCCAGCCUGGGUAAGGGAGAGAGAAAAACCUUAUCUCCUAAAAAAAAAAAAAAAAAAAAAAAAAAAGUAAUUUGUCUACAUCAUUAUGUAUAAUUUAUUAUGAUUCCCUGCCAUGGUAUCCAGCCACCAAGACAACCCCAAAUGUUCCACCUCUUGGUACUCGCAUCCUGUGUAAUCCCCUCCCACAUUGUGUCAGUGUUGGUCUGUGUUACCAAUGGCAGAAGUGGCAACACUUCCACAUCUAGGUUAUAAAAGACAUUGUGUCUUUUACCUUGCUAUUUCUUGGAUUAUUUAUCUGGGAGGAAGCCAGCUGCCACGUCUUUUUUUUUUUUUUUUUUCUGUAGAGACAGGGUCUCAUUUUGUGGCCAGGCUGGUUUCACACUUACAGGCUCAAACAAACAUUCCUCCUGCCUCAGCCUCCCAAAGCGCUGGGAUUACAGGCAUGAGCCACCAUGCUCAUGCCUUAAAAGACAUGCUGGCCAGCUGUCAUGUCUUAAAAGACACUCAGGCAGCUGAGAGGUCUAGUUGGUAGGAACUAAGGUCUCUUGCCAAUGGCAAGGGACUGAGGCCUCCUGAAAACAGACAUGUGAAUGAGAAAACCUUAGAAGUGAGUCUUCCAGCCCCAAUCAGGCCUUCAGAUGACUGCAACUUCAGGAGAGAACCACCAGACUAAGCCAUUCCUGAAUUCCCAGCCCUCAGAAACUGUGUAAGAUCAUGUUUGUUGUUUCGAGCUGCUAAAAUUUUAGGAUAAUUUGUUGUAACAGAUUGUGAAUAUAAUUGCUUUAACAUUUAUUAUCCAUCUUCAUCUUCUACCACAUUAUUUUAUUGGUCCUUUGUAAAACUCCUGGGGCCAUUCUUUUUCUUUCUUUUUUUUUUUAAAGAUGGAUUCUCGCUCUGUUGCCCAGGCUGGAGUGCAAUGGCGUGAUCUCAGCUCACUGCAACCUCUGCCUCCCAGGUUCAAGCAAUUCUCCUGCCUCAGCCUCCCGAGUAGCUGGGACUACAGGCACGCAAUGCCACGCCCGGCUCAUUUUUUGUAUUUUAGUGGAGGUGGGGUUUCACUGUGUUGCCCAGGCUGGUCGCGAACUUCUGAGCUCAGGCAAUCCACCCGCCUCAGCCUCCCAAAGUGCUGGGAUUACACGCCGUGAGCCACCGCACCUGGCCCCUGGGACCAUUCUCACACAGAGUUAUUAUUAAAUAAGAAUUAGCAAAGUUCAGAAAGUCAUAUAUUUCAAGUGCUUUCUAAUUCAAAGUGCUUCUCUAUAUUCAAGUACUAUGGUAUCAUUUCAAACAUAGCAAAUUAUAAAAGUUCUGUAAUUUCCUAAAUAUAAAUGUACUUUGUGAAAGGCUUCUGUGACACACAUAAAAGACAUAUUUGAUGUACCAGUUGCUUUGCUGUGGCUUUUAAGUAAAGAAUAAAAAGUGUCAUAGAAGGAAGGCUGUUUUUCUUCUCUGUAGUAGAAUACAGUCCUUCCCUGCCCAGAUGAUGGUUACUGUAGAGUUUUCACUGUUCAGAUAUAGAAAAAGCCAAAGAAAGAACCUUAGCAGACAGAAGAGUUUGUGUAGCCUGAUCAAAGAUGUCAGUAGCGUAAGAAGAGAAAGAGAUCAAGGGAGAAGAAGUGGCAGGAUAAAGUAUCAGAGAAUACAGGGCAUAGGAAGAAACACUGCAGAAAAAACCAGAAGUCAAAAGCAGCAUAAGAACAGUUAGUUUAGAAAGAUUAACAAAGUGAUUUAUAAAGAUUUCCAGCAAAGCCCUAUAAAGUCUAACAAUAGGGCACUAAGAUGUUUGCAGAGAAGCAUUUUAAAUAUACAUAAGAAUUCAGAGACAGAUGUUUAAAGUGCAAAACAUUAAGUUCAGAUCCUGAACAUUAAGUUCAGGAUCAAAGAAGAUGCAUGAGACAACAGAGUAUGGCAGAUAAUGACAAAACAGAAAAUGAGAAUGAGAUGCUGCUCUAGUUUCCCAUUGCACUCCAACCCUGUAUCCUAGCUAAGGAAAGAUUCUAUUCAUGUUUA